rnacentral:lncRNA from 1 species
GCCACUGCACUCUAGGCUGGGUGACAGAACGGAGGGGAGGGGGAGGGAGGGGAGAGGAGGGGAGAGGAAGGAAAGGAAGAAAGAAAGAAGGAGGGAGGGAGGGAGGGAUGAAGGGAGGAAGGGAGGAAGAGAGCAAGCAAGCAAGUAUUGGUAAGUACAGGAAGAAAUGGAACUCUCAUACGUUGCCAAAAGGUCUGUAAAUCGGUAUAAACACUUUGGAAAACUGGUAAUAUCACUGAAGCUGAACAUUCGCAUACCCUAAGACCAAGCAAUUCCACUACUGGUAAUUUUAUCUAAAAUAUGGGCACCACAAAACAUACACAAAACAACCCGAUUCAGCAUGACUCCAAAAUACAGUGCUCCUUCCCAGAGACACGUGCCCAGAAUGCUACCUUAUGGAAAAUGUGUACCCGCACGUUGCAAGAUACUUUNNNNNNNNNNAAAAAAAAAAAAAGUGCCCAGACCAAUUGACCAAUCAGCAGAUCUUGAAACCCCAUCUCUACUAAAAUACAAAAAUUAGCUGGGCGUGGUGGCAGGCGCCUGUUAAUCCCAGCUACUUGGGAGGCUGAGGCAGAAUUGUUUUAACCCAGGAGAGGGGGUUGCAGUGAGCUGAGAUUGUGCCAUUGCACUCCAGCCUGG